UGUGGGAGCGGGCUUGCUCGCGAUACAGGCGCCGCGGUUUGUCAGGAUAGCCGCGUCGAUCCAAUCGCGAGCAAGCCCGCUCCCACA
rnacentral:misc_RNA from 1 species